CAAAUUAUGUACAUUCAUUUUUGAACCAACCAAUUUCCUAUUUAUUUGCUAAACUAUCUUCCAAACAAACAAGCAAAGCAGUUAAUUACUAUACGAAAAUGGCAUCUCACUCGAUUAAAUAUUUGAAGCCAAUCAUCUUCGGAUUACUGCUAAUCCUAAUGGCAUCAGAAAUGGCUUUAGGGCAAUCAUGCACCCUGAGAGGUUAUGGGUGUAGUACUAAUAGUGACUGUUGCGAAGGGUACGAAUGUCAUAUUGGAAGAUUGAAUGUGCCAGGCAUCACCCCAACUCAGCCUGCUUUGUGUUGUGAAAGUUAUUUUGGGGGUUUAUGGUAUGAUUGCAACAACUAACCCUCCAAACGCCUACUCCGGCCGGUGUUCAACAUUCCGGCAGCUGGCUCAAGGCACCAUGGCCGGUUCUCCACACUCCAGCGGCAUCCAAUAAAAUUAUGGUUUCAGAUUGAAUAAUAAUGUUAUGUUUCCUCUUCUUUCAUGUCAUUCGUUCUUUGUGAAUUAUUGUUAUAUAUCUACUUGCUAGUGUGUUUAAUUUCCAUGUAUUUUCAGUCAAUAUUAUGUGUUUUGGAAUAAUGGAUUUGAUGUGUAAUAUAAUGUUCGAAUUUCUAUUCCACCUAUAA